rnacentral:rRNA from 1 species
CCUACGGGGGGCAGCAGUGGGGGAUAUUGCACAAUGGGGGAAACCCUGAUGCAGCGACGCCGCGUGAGUGAAGCAGUAUUUCGGUAUGUAAAGCUCUAUCAGCAGGGAAGAAAAUGACAGUACCUGACCAAGUAGCCCCGGCGAACUACGUGCCAGCAGCCGCGGUAAUACGUAGGGGGCAAGCGUUAUCCGGAUUUACUGGGUGUAAAGGGAGCCUAGACGGUUUUGUAAGUCUGGAGUGAAAGCUCGGGGCCAAAUCCCGGGAUUGCUUUGGAAACUGUGUAACUGGAGGACAGGAGGGGCAGGCGGAAUUCCUGGUGGAGCGGUGAAAUGCGGAGAUAUCAGGAAGAACACCGGCGGCGAAGGCAGCCUGCUGGACUGAAACUGACGUUGAGGCGCGAAAGCGUGGGGAGCAAACAGGAUUAGAUACCCCUGUAGUC